AAAUCGUCAUUGCUGCGGUUAAAAAGCUCGUAGUUGUAUCUGAGGCACGUAUGUUGGUUCGGCAACGCCGUUAAUCAAUGUCGUGUCUAUUUUGUCGGUUUUCUAAUAGGUACAUCGGUUCUAUUAGUGGCUGGCAAUUUUACUUUGAUCAAAUCAGAACGCUCAACGUAUGCGUUUUGCUUGAAUGACUUAUCAUGGAAUAAUAAAAUAGGAUUUAGGUUCUAUUUGUUGGUUCUAGAAUUUAAUUAAUGAUUAAGAGGGAUGAUUCGGGGGCAUUCGUAUCCCUACGCGAGAGGUGAAAUUCGUAGACCGUAGGGGGACGUCCAAAAGCGAAAGCAAUUGCCAAGAACGUCUCUAUUAAUCAAGAACGAAAGUCAGAGGUUCGAAGGCGAUUAGAUACCGCCCUAGUUCUGACCGUAAACUAUACCAUCUAGCGAUCCGAUGGGGUUUCUAAUGCCUCGUCGGGGAGCCCCCCGGAAACGAAAGUCUUUCGGUUCCGGGGGUAGUAUGGUUGCAAAGCUGAAACUUAAAGAAAUUGACGGAAGGGCACCACCAGGAGUGGAGCCUGCGGCUUAAUUUGACUCAACACGGGAAAACUCACCCGGCCCGGACACCGUAAGGAUUGACAGAUUGAUAGCUCUUUCUCGAUUUGGUGGUUGGUGGUGCAUGGCCGUUCUUAGUUGGUGGAGCGAUUUGUCUGGUUUAUUCCGAUAACGAGCGAGACUCUAACCUGCUAAAUAGUUAUAUUGUAAGCAGGCAAUAAUAACUUCUUAGAGGAAUAAGCGGUGUUUAACCGCACGAGAUUGAGCGAUAACAGGUCUGUGAUGCCCUUAGAUGUCCGGGGCUGCACGCGCGCUACACUGGGAGAAUCAGUUGGUUUUUCAUUGCCGAGAGGUACUGGUAAACCGAUGAAACUCUUCCGUGUCUGGGAUUGGGAAUUGUA
rnacentral:rRNA from 1 species